rnacentral:lncRNA from 1 species
CUUCCACUUGUGUCUGUGACUUUGUGUGUAACACUCCACCUGGUGUUUCUGCCUUCAUGUGUCACACUCCCCCAUGUCAUCUUAGAUUUCAUGCAUAUCACACCCCCUUGAUGUCUCUGACGUCAUUUGUCACAUACCCCAUGUUGUCUCUAAAUUCCUGUGUCCCCCUCUCCCUGGUGUCUUUGAAUUCUUGUGUAAAACUCCCCCUGCUGUCUCUGUCAUCUUGUUUCACACUAACCUUUGCCUCUUUCUUCAUGUGUCACACUCCCCAUGACAUUUAUGACUUUGUCACACACACUAUGGUGUCUCUGACUUCCUGUGCAACACUACCCCAAGCGUUUCUGACUUCCUGUGUCACACUUGCACUGGUGUCUCAGACAUCGUGCAUAGCACACCCCCUUGCAUCUCUGACAAACUGCGACACACUCCACAUUGCAUCUCUGAGUUUGUGUGUCACAUUCAACCUGGUGUAUCUGCCUUCAUGUGCAACACUCUACAUGGUGUCUUGGUAUUUGUGUGUCACACUCCCCCUAGCAUCCCUGACUUCCUGUGUCACAGUCCCCCUGGCAUGUAUGACAUCAUGUGUAACUCACCCCAUGGAGUCUAAGACUUCUUAUGUCAACCUCCCAUUUGUAUCUCUGAGUAUGUGCAUCACACUCCCCCUGCCAUCUAUAACUUCGUGUGUAACAGUCCCAAUGUCAUCUCUGGCUUCCUGUAUAACACUCCUACUGGCAUCCGUGACCUCGUGUUUCACACUUUCCCUGUCGUCUCUGUCUUGGUGACUAGUACGCCCCCUGGUAUCAUUGUUUUCAUGCAUAAAACACUCCCGUGGCCUCUGUAGCUUCGUGUAUCACAAUCUUCAUAUCUUCUCUAAAUUCGUUUGUCAUUAAAACCCUCAGGUGUUUGACUUCAUGUGCAACACUCCCCUUCGUGUCUCUUACUUCAUACAUCACAAUGCCCCUGCCGCCUCUGAUUUUGUGUGUCAUACUAUACCUGAUGUCUCUGACUCUCUGUGUAACACCCCCCCUGAUGUCUCUGACUUCUUUUGUAAUAC